CCUACGGGCGGCUGCAGUGAGGAAUAUUGGUCAAUGGACGAGAGUCUGAACCAGCCAAGUAGCGUGAAGGAUGACUGCCCUAUGGGUUGUAAACUUCUUUUAUAUGGGAAUAAAACGUUCCACGUGUGGGAUUUUGUAUGUACCAUAUGAAUAAGGAUCGGCUAACUCCGUGCCAGCAGCCGCGGUAAUACGGAGGAUCCGAGCGUUAUCCGGAUUUAUUGGGUGUAAAGGGAGCGUAGGUGGAUUGUUAAGUCAGUUGUGAAAGUUUGCGGCUCAACCGUAAAAUUGCAGUUGAAACUGGCAGUCUUGAGUACAGUAGAGGUGGGCGGAAUUCGUGGUGUAGCGGUGAAAUGCUUAGAUAUCACGAAGAACUCCGAUUGCGAAGGCAGUUCACUGGACUGCAACUGACACUGAGGCUCGAAAGUGUGGGUAUCAAACAGGAUUAGAUACCCUGGUAGUC
rnacentral:rRNA from 1 species